AGGACGAACGCUGGCGGCGUGCUUAACACAUGCAAGUCGAGCGACGCCCACCCUUCGGGGUGGUGACGGAGCGGCGAACGGGUGAGUAACACGUGGGCAACCUGCCCCUAGCUCUGGGACAACCCCGGGAAACCGGGGCUAAUACCGGAUACGACUUCCUCCGGCAUCGGAGGAAGUGGAAAGUUUUUCGGCUAGGGAUGGGCCCGCGGCCUAUCAGCUUGUUGGUGAGGUAACGGCCCACCAAGGCGACGACGGGUAGCCGGCCUGAGAGGGCGACCGGGCCACGACUGGGACUGAGACACGGCCCAGACUCCACGGGAGGCAGCAGUGGGAAUAUUGCGCAAUGGGCGAAAGCCUGACGCAGCGACGCCGCGUGAGGGAUGAAGGCCUUCGGGUUGUAAACCUCUUCCAGCAGGGACGAAGCGAAAGUGACGGUACCUGCAGAAGAGCACCGGCAACACGUGCAAGCAGCCG
rnacentral:rRNA from 1 species